UGUAGUUGGAGAAACAUAAAUUAGAUUCUUCAGUAUUGCUUCUUCAAGAUUAAUUGCCAGGUUUCAAAUCAAAGAUAUUUGUGAACACUGUUGUUACACAACUAUAUGGUUAUUUCACUUGGAGUAGUUACCUAACUGAGCCCUUACUUCAGCAUUCAGCAGAGAAAGAUAUUUUAAAAUCCUGCCAGAAUGCAUCCCAUCUCUCACAGAAUAUCUUUUGAAACCUGGUUGCCUAAGAGUAGGGACUUUCAAACCAUAUUUAGGUACUAAAGGAAAUGGCCUGAUUUCCUGCGAUGGUGAUAUUAAUGGAAAUUGAUGGAAACACAUCUCCCGCAGUAAU